rnacentral:rRNA from 1 species
GGGACCCGUCUUGAAACACGGACCAAGGAGUCUAGCAUGUGCGCGAGUCAUUGGGACUCUUAUGAAACCUAAAGGCGUAAUGAAAGUGAAGGUCCGCCUCGCGCGGACCGAGGGAGGAUGGGUGGUCCCGAGGGGCCGCCUCGCACUCCCGGGGCGUCUCGUUCUCAUCGCGAGAAGAGGCGCACCCAGAGCGUACACGCUGGGACCCGAAAGAUGGUGAACUAUGCCUGGUCAGGACGAAGUCAGGGGAAACCCUGAUGGAGGUCCGUAGCGAUUCUGACGUGCAAAUCGAUCGUCGGAACUGGGUAUAGGGGCGAAAGACUAAUCGAACCAUCUAGUAGCUGGUUCCCUCCGAAGUUUCCCUCAGGAUAGCUGGCGCUCGCUUCUCGCGAGUCUCAUUCGGUAAAGCGAAUGAUUAGAGGCAUUGGGGUCGAAACGGCCUCAACCUAUUCUCAAACUUUAAAUGGGUGAGAUCUCCGGCUUGCUUGAACUGUGAAGCCGCGAGAUAUCGGAUCAGAGUGCCAAGUGGGCCACUUUUGGUAAGCAGAACUGGCGCUGUGGGAUGAACCAAACGCUGAGUUAAAGCGCCUAAAUCGACGCUUAUGGGAUACCAUGAAAGGCGUUGGUAACUUAAGACAGCAGGACGGUGGCCAUGGAAGUCGGAAUCCGCUAAGGAGUGUGUAAA